rnacentral:rRNA from 1 species
UAGGGAAUCUUCCACAAUGGGCGCAGGCCUGAUGGAGCAACACCGCGUGAGUGAAGAAGGGUUUCGGCUCGUAAAGCUCUGUUGUUAAAGAAGAACGUGGGUAAGAGUAACUGUUUACCCAGUGACGGUAUUUAACCAGAAAGCCACGGCUAACUACGUGCCAG